rnacentral:rRNA from 1 species
CAUGCAAGUCGGACGAGAAAUCCUGAGCAAUCGGGAGAGUAAAGUGGCGCACGGGUGAGUAACGCGUGGGUAAUCUACCCUGAAGUUGGGAAUAACACCUCGAAAGGGGUGCUAAUACCCAAUAACAUCCCUGGGGUUCCGGCCGCGGGGAUCAAAGAUGGCUGAGGCUUGCAAGCUAUUGCUGCAGGAUGAGCCCGCGUACCAUUAGCUAGUUGGUGGGGUAAUGGCUCACCAAGGCAAUGAUGGUUAGCUGGUCUGAGAGGAUGGCCAGCCACACUGGAACUGAGACACGGUCCAGACUCCUACGGGAGGCAGCAGUGAGGAAUCUUGCGCAAUGGGGGCAACCCUGACGCAGCAACGCCGCGUGAGUGAUGAAGGCCUUCGGGUCGUAAAGCUCUGUCAGAUGGGAAGAAAGUUUCGUUCCCGAAUAAGGAACGGAAU